CACACAACCAUGAGGUGAUAGUCUUGAACUUCACUAUACUGAUGGAUAAUAGGCCAUAUAGCUUAGUCCUUCGGUAUCUAGAAAAAUCUUUGCACCACCAACUGGUAACCUGGCUUGGAUGUUAAAUUUUAUUGUCACCCAGCGCAUAACGUCGAUAAGAAAUACUGUGAAAAUUUUGUCAAGAUGGUCUCUAGAUACACAUGGGAGAAGUGUGUGUGAAUGUAAAGAGGAAGAGGCAAGAAGAAACAGAGGCAGAUAACAGUGAAGGACCAGAAGCCUGCCUGGCCCCUCAUUUGGAUGAAAAGGGGGAGUGUUUCCUCAGAUUGUGUAAGAAAGAGCGUGGCUCUCGGUGUCUUCCAAUCACCCCUGCUGUGAAGAUAACUGUCAGUAUGAUAUCAACACAUGAGAACUGAAAGACAGAGAUUUCCCCCACCCCUUCCUGCCCAAAACAACAACAACAAAGGUAAUACAUUGAAAUGAAAGAAGAAAAGCUGAAUCUGUAGGAACGAAAGGAAAGGAAAGAAUACGGUCUGGAGAAAGGGGUUUAUUGGAAAUUGAGACAAAGCGGGACCACCAGCUACCCAAAGAUGAAAUUAUAUGCUCCCUACAUGUCUCAGGGAGAGCGUGUUGCUGGAGGAGUUUGGUGCCUUGGAACUGUUUCUAUGAGGUCGGGUCAGUUGAGAUUUGAGAAGCAAUAGUGUCCCACCACUGGCCUUAGGACAACACUUGAGGCCUCGGUGUCAGAACUGCCUCCCCAACACCAGCAAAAAUUCUGACCCCGGAGAUUCUGAAGUAUGUCUGCAGUUUCCAGUACCAGUCUCAUGGGAUGUUGCCUUCUCAGGAAGCUGUGAGAGUCCUGAUAGACUCAUCCUGUUGAUGAAGACCAUCCUGACCUUAUUUUCCUCCUGGGUAUUGCAUUUAAAUCCCAAUUAAACAGAAUUUUGGGCAGUAG